rnacentral:rRNA from 1 species
UACGUAGGGUGCGAGCGUUGUCCGGAAUUACUGGGCGUAAAGAGCUCGUAGGUGGUUUGUCGCGUUGUUCGUGAAAUCUCACGGCUUAACUGUGAGCGUGCGGGCGAUACGGGCAGACUAGAGUACUGCAGGGGAGACUGGAAUUCCUGGUGUAGCGGUGAAAUGCGCAGAUAUCAGGAAGAACACCCGUGGCGAAGGCGGCUUUCUGGGACGGUACUGACGCUGAGACGCGAAAGCGUGGGGAGCGAACAGG